rnacentral:rRNA from 1 species
GACGAACGCUGGCGGCGUGCUUAACACAUGCAAGUCGAGCGGUAAGGCCCUUUCGGGGGUACACGAGCGGCGAACGGGUGAGUAACACGUGGGUGACCUGCCCUUAGCUCUGGGAUAAGCCUGGGAAACUGGGUCUAAUACCGGAUAUGACUCCAUGACGCAUGUUGUGGGGUGGAAAGCCUUGUGCGGCUAGGGAUGGGCCCGCGGCCUAUCAGCUUGUUGGUGGGGUGAUGGCCACCGAGGCGACGACGGGUAGCCGGCCUGAGAGGGCGACCGGCCACACUGGGACUGAGACACGGCCCAGACUCCUACGGGAGGCAGCAGUGGGGAAUCUUGCGCAAUGGGCGAAAGCCUGACGCAGCGACGCCGCGUAGGGAUGACG